CGCUGAUCGGCCUGCAGAGCGGCAGGUCAACAGGAAGCGGCAGGUCAACAGGAAGCGGCAGGUCAACAGGAAGCGGCAGGACAACAGGAAGCAGCAGGUCAACAGGAAGUAGCAGGUCAACAGGAAGCAGCAGGUCAACAGGAAGCAGCAGGUCAACAGGAAGCAACAGGUCAACAGGAAGCGGCAGGUCAACAGGAAGCAGCAGGUCAACAGGAAGCAGCAGGUCAACAGGAAGCAGCAGGUCAACAGGAAGCAGCAGGUCAGCAGGAAGCAGCAGGUCAGCAGGAAGCCGUAGGCCAACAGGAAGCAGCAGGUCAACAGGAAGCAGCAGGUCAGCAGGAAGCAGCAGGUCAACAGGAAGCGGCAGGUCAACAGGAAGCAGCAGGUCAACAGGAAGCAGCAGGUCAACAGGAAACA